GACAGAGGGUGCAAACGUUGUUCGGAAUUACUGGGCGUAAAGCGUGUGUAGGCGGCUUUGCAAGUCGGAUGUGAAAGCCCCGGGCUCAACCCGGGAAGUGCACUCGAUACUGCAGAGCUUGAGUGUCGGAGAGGUUGGUGGAAUUCUCGGUGUAGAGGUGAAAUUCGUAGAUAUCGAGAGGAACACCGGCGGCGAAGGCGGCCAACUGGACGACUACUGACGCUGAGACACGAAAGGCGUGGGGAGCAAACAGG
rnacentral:rRNA from 1 species